GCGGCGAGCGAACGGGGACCAGCCGAGCCUUGAGUGUGAUCAGAAAGACCUGGGAAGGUCUGCCAUAGUGGGUGAUAGCCCCGUAUGAGAAGCACGAUUGGACGUAUUAAGUAGGGCGGGACACGUGAAAUCCUGUCUGAAGAUCGGAGGACCACCUUCGAAGGCUAAGUACUCCUUACUGACCGAUAGUGAACCAGUACCGUGAGGGAAAGGUGAAAAGCACCCCGACGAGGGGAGUGAAACAGUACCUGAAACCGAACGCCUACAAUCAGUCGGAGCCCCCUUGCGGGGUGACGGCGUACCUUUUGUAUAAUGGGUCAUCGACUUGGUCUAUCUAGCAAGCUUAAGCCGUUAGGUGUAGGCGCAGCGAAAGCGAGUCUUAAUAGGGCGAAUGAGUUAGUCGGAUUAGACCCGAAACCGAGUGAUCUAG
rnacentral:rRNA from 1 species